AUCCGGUUCAUUUACAAACACUAUAACUGAUUCUGCGCUUUCAGAAAUGCUGGACAAAACAUAGCCGCAUCCAAGUGCGCUAUCCAGUAAUGGUCCUGGAUGGAUGGGAAAGUUCAAGGAAGCGAGGCAGUCCACCUUCUUUGCCCGUUAGCCAGAACGUAUCCUAUUUCCAGCGACAAAAACGCGACAGCCCAAAGAGGAAGAAGGCGGGCCAAGGAGGAUCCGGAAAGUCAACGCCAAGCAGACACGGUCCACAGUGCGUGGAUGUAUUCCAAGAGAAAAGAGAAGCGAUAGACGACAAGAAGGAAGAAGAGAAACAAAAAAUUGCUGUCGUUAAUAAUAGACGCGACUACACACGACGAAGCGCGAGGUCGUACAAAUCUAUGUAUAGAUAAUAAUAAAAUAAACUUGCUUACCAUCA